rnacentral:lncRNA from 1 species
CUAUAACACUUUAAAAAAGCAUUCCUUGUUAGUUUGUUUUUAAUUCCAUUUCCCUUUUUUUUGUUGUUGUUGUUAUUUUUGACAAAUUUCACAGAAAUUUUUUACCUAAUUUUACUAUUUUCCAAUACUUCACACUUUUUUGAUUUCAGAAGUAUAUCCAAGCACUAAAACCAUCAUGCUAUGUUCAUCACCCACUUCCAUGAAGGAAAAUUACAUUCUAACAUAAUUAAUUAAGUAUAGAAGAAAAAUCAACCACUACUCCUCCAAAGAACACAUAAGAAGUGAGCCAAGAGAGAGAAUCACUCAAUAAAUUAUUCUAUUUUUUUUUUUAUUUUAGUAUUUGCAGGAAGAUGGAUCCCAGCCUAUUAAAACUAAAACUUGCAGGAAGAUAGGGACUCUGAUGUAUCAUCUGUCAAGGUGUCUUCAUCUGUAUGCUGCCAGAUCUGUGGGCAUGCUGCCAGGAUGCUCUAUCAUGCCAGAAAGCUCUACAUUCCCACCAGCCGUCUCGAUCUUGACAAGUGGAGAUUAACGGAUGCUUCAAGUCCCCUUUUGAUUUACAUAAACCAUUCUGAAGUGACAUGAUUAAAGAUGGCAGUGCAGCAGAAAAUGCAUACGUUUGUGUUACUAAACAGCUCUGCUGUAUCUUACAGUAAUAAUUAAAACACUCUUGGAAAUAGCAUAUGCAGAAUGGCAAAAGGUCGCCAUUUCUGGUGCAGAACAACUUUACUAACACACCAAAACUAUCUGCUGUGUUUGUUUUGGCAUAACUUAUUUAUACUUUAUCUAUUAGGUGACACAGAAAGGUAAUUGACUGUCUCAGAUAUCCUAGAUGUGAGAUGUUACUUCCCCUGCUACAUUCAAAUCACAUACAAAGGCAUGCACAGACUUAUGCUUUGAGAAUGUCUGGUCUGAGUGGAAAAACAAAUGCUUGCUUCAUUAUACAGUGG